rnacentral:rRNA from 1 species
UUUGAUCCUGGUCCAGGCGGAACCGUGGCGGCGUGGAUAAGGCAUGCAAGUCAGAGGGGGGAAGUUUUACUUCCCUACCUGGCAAACGGGUCAGUAAUACGUGGGUAACUUGCCUCGCAGACAGGGACAAUCGGGGAAACCCGGCUAAUCCCCGAUAGUCUAAUUGGGUGCAAUUCCCAAUUAGUAAAGGGAACCCGAAAGGGAACCGCUGCGAGAGAGGCCCACGGCCCAUCAGGUAGUUGGUAGGGUAAUGGCCUACCAAGCCUAUGACGGGUAGGCGGGGUGAGAGCCUGACCGCCGACAGCGGCACUGAGACAAGGGCCGCACUCCUACGGGAGGCAGCAGCCGAGAAUCUUGGGCAAUGGGGGAAACCCUGACCCAGCGACGCCGCGUGGGGGAAGAAGGCCUUCGGGUCGUAAACCCCUUUUGCCACUGGGUAAGGGAGGUUAAUCCUCCUUGAAAGUAAGUGGCGAAUAAGUGGCUGCUAAUCACGUGCCAGCAGCAGCGGUAAGACGUGAGCCACAACGGUUCGCCGGAUUUACUGGGCGUAAAGGGUACCGUAGGCGGUAAGGCAAGUCUCAAGUUAAAGCCCCCAGGCUCAACUUGGGGAAUGCUUGAGAAACUGCCUUACUAGAGGGCGGUAGGGGGAGCCGGAACUGCCGGUGUAGGGGUGAAAUCCGUUGAUAUCGGCAGGAACACCGAAAGGGAAGCCAGGCUCCUGGGCCGACCCUGACGCUGAGGGACGAAAGCGUGGGGAGCAAAGGGGAUUAGAGACCCCUGUAGUCCACGCUGUAAACGAUGGGCACUAGCUCCUGGGAGUCUCGACCCUCUCGGGGGCGAAGAUAACUCGUUAAGUGCCCCGCCUGGGAAGUACGCCCGCAAGGGUGAAACUCAAAGGAAUAGACGGGAGCCCAAACAAGCGGUGGACCGCGUGGCUCAAUCCGACAACAAGCGUGGAACCUUACCAGGGCUUGACAUGCCGGUGAAACCCUGGAGAAAUCCGGGGGUUCCACAAGGACACCGGCACAGGUGCUGCAUGACCCUCGUCAGCAGGUGCCGUGAGGCGCAUGGUUAGAUCCCAAAACCUGCGCAACCCCUGCCGUAUGUUUCUCCUAAACCUGUUUGGUUUAGGGGUGUCAUACGGGACUGCCGACUUUAAGUCGGAGGAAGGUGGGGACGACGUGAGGUCGGUAUGGCCCUUAUGCCCUGGGCUGCACACGCGGUACAAUGGCCACUACAACGGGUUGCGACCCUGUAAAGGGGAGCUAAUCCCUUAAAAGUGGCCCCAGUUCGGAUCGAGGUCUGCAACUCGACCUCGUGAAGCCGGAAUCGCUAGUAACCGGGGAUCAGCCACGCCCCGGUGAAUACGUUCCUGGGCUCUGUACUCACCGCCCGUCAACGCAAGCGAGCCGGAAACAGAUGAAGUGGCUCCUUUUGGAGCAGCGAGUCUGGGUCCGGUGAGAGGGCGUAAGUCGUAACAAGGUACGGGUACGGGAACGUGCCCGUGGAA